rnacentral:lncRNA from 1 species
AAGAAUCAAGGGUCUAUAACCAUCUAUUCUUAAAGAUAUCGACCAGUUACAUCCUCAACCUUAUCAAAAGUUCUAUUUCUCUCUUUUCACACUAUCGAAAUGACAGAGAAUGAAAUUUCUCUCCCUCCUUUGCAAAACCUGUCGUCGCAUCUAGAAUCAUUAGAUUCUUAUCCUUUCUUCGCUCCUCUUCUCCGUCGACCACCAUUAGGAUUUUUCUUCU